UAAAAUGUUAUUAAAAAGGCCACAUCUGUAACGCAAUAACGUGUAAUCAUUAUUGGUGGUGAGGCAGUGCAUUUACAAGAUAUCAAGUACUCACAGAGAGAGACGUAUAUAAAUGUCUUGUAGUAUGUAAUAUAGGACAGAUUCGGACUCAGAUUAAGCGCGAACAAGUAUACGGGGUAUACAGAAUGGAACGUUUUGUAAUGGUCUGUUCGUUAAUCGUAUGUCUUAACGGAAUAAUAGGUUUUACAAAUUCCGUGCCGAUAAAUGAUGCGCUGGUCAACAAUGGCAUUAGCAGUAAUUUAGUGGACUUGAAGUAUCUCGUUGAAAGUCCCAGGACAUUAAACAGAAUGAAACGGCAGCUCCCGCCAUGUCCAAAUCAAUUUCCCAACUGCUGCAUUUUCUGUGACACAACUGGGAAGCAAGAACACGACGGAAACACCGCCGAAGAAGCUUAAAUAUUAUUGAAUGGUGAUGAUAACUAACAUACCUAUAGAAAGCCGAGCACUCUUCAGCUAGGACGGUUUGAUGUCUUUUUUAUUGAUAGCCAUUGUAUACGAAAUGUAAAAAUAUUUAACAUAAAAGCAAGCUGUGAAUAUACUUACUAUUAUUAUUUAGCUUUAGAAUGUAAUUAUGUGUGUAGUAAUGAAUUGUUACUUUUUAUUGCACUUUGCAAAGGUAUCCGUGCACAGCAAUUUAAUAUAAUAAAUUAAUAAACAUAAUUUUUCACCUGUAUAAAACAAUGCUUU